UAUUUAUUUUAAGUUAUCUCUUACAGACGCCCGCUACUGCUGAGCAUUGGUUAGAAAUUUUGAAUGAAUUUGACCAGCAGUGGAAUUUUCCUCAUUGCCUAGGUGCAAUCGAUGGUAAACAUGUGGUUCUACAGGCUCCAGUAGGCAGCGGUAGUGAAUACUUCAAUUACAAAUCAGUUUUUAGUAUCGUACUAUUCGCAUUAGUAGAUGCUAAUUCUAAUUUUGUAUUUGCGGAUGUAGACUGAGAUCAGGGCCGCAUUUCAGAUGGAGAGCCAGCAGUUCUUCCGGGACAACAGAAAAUUGUACCAUACGUUAUUCUGCGUGAUGAUGCAUUUGCGCUGCAUGAAUACGUCAUGAAACUCUAUGCAGCUUUACAUAAAAAAAGUUCUUUGGAAAUAAUUUUUAGUUAUAGGUUGUCGAGAGCACGAAAAGUAGUAGAAAAUGCUUUCGGAAUUGUCUGUGUGUUGUUUCACAAAACAUAUACACACCUAGAGGAACACUGGACUAUGCGGAAAAUGGACGAAUAAUAGAAGGAAAUUGGCGAAAAGAACAACCUGUAAAAUCAUUCCUUCCACUGAAAAAAGUUCCAAGGAAGCCAGCAAUGGGUGUUCAAGAAAUUAGGACCGAAAUAGCAGAAUACUUUAUAAAUAGUGGAAGUGUAGCUUGGCAAAACGAUUAUGCUUAAAAAAAUCUACUUUUAUUUUCAUUCAUUAGCGAUUUUUAGACUAUAUUAAACUAAUUUAAAAAUAUACUUACAGUUUCAGUGUUGAUGGUUUCUGCUUCUUCAUUUUUAUUCAUAAGAAAGGCAAAGCUAGUAAAUGCAAACCAUUUGCUGGAAUAAACGUUCUUCUGUCCUAAAAUGUAUCAAGUUUUUUAAUUUAAGUUUAUGUGAAUGUAAUAUUUAAAAAUACCUUGUCCAGUU